GACGGAGGAUGCAAGCGUUAUCCGGAAUGAUUGUGCGUAAAGCGUCCGCAGGUGGCAGUUCAAGUCUGCUGUCAAAGACCGGGGCUUAACUUCGGAAAGGCAGUGGAAACUGAACAGCUAGAGUAUGGUAGGGGCAGAGGGAAUUCCUGGUGUAGCGGUGAAAUGCGUAGAGAUCAGGAAGAACAUCGGUGGCGAAGGCGCUCUGCUGGACCAUAACUGACACUCAGGGACGAAAGCUAGGGGAGCGAAUGGGAUAGAUACCCGGUA
rnacentral:rRNA from 1 species